rnacentral:misc_RNA from 1 species
UUUAUUUUUAUUUUAUAUUGGCACUACUAAACUGUAUGCUUAGCGCGUCACUUUUUGCCACACGUAGGUACUAGAGAUCAGGAGUGAGAGCCCAGUAAACCAUAAACUGGGAUCACUUUGAGAGUUCAUAUCUACAUUUGUGUCCCGUGUCACCUCAUCUGCGGAGUGUAUUUUGGUAGGAUCACUAGGCUUCAUUAGAAAUUUUGUAUUUUGUGUUAAGACAUUAAUUUUUGCUAUGUAAAUUAUAAAAUCAUGUAAUUAUUGUAAAAUAUGUAAGUUAAUGAAAUUAAGUAUUUCUUUAUGAACGUGAGCAUUUAUUUAUUUAUGCAUGGAAUAAAUAAAGAUUUGAGUUUGAGAUAUUGAUAUGAGAUUUGAGAUUAACAAAAUUUACAUAUAUUUGAAAUUAUUGUUGA